GCCACCAACUGAUAGCUCAGUUAGCAGAGAGCAUGAGACUCUGACUGUCAGGGUUGGGGUUCAAGCCCCAUUUGGGGCA